AUCAUGGUCCUAGCUGCUGUGCUGAGUUGUUGACCUGUUGUUCACAAAUAAAUACAGUUCUUGAAGUUUUCCUGACUUGUUCUGCUUCCUGGUAUUAGCACAGACCCACUACAAGAUUUCCUUACACAUAAAAAGAAGGAGCAAAGAAACCCUUCUAGAUUUUCUAUGCAAGAUGAAUCCCCGGUGGGUAAGAGACUGCUGUAUAUCUGUCUUUGCAUCCUAAGCAGCACACAACACUGAAGGUAUACACAUUUAUGUGCAGCUUUUACCCUGGAUUUUUGUACACAUUAGUGGCUGGAGAACAGCAUUGCAAAAUUCAGAGAAAUGC